UUUUUUUAUACCCUGUACUCGAAGAGUAAAUAGGGUAUGUUGCAGUCGAAGGAAAUCGAUUGGCAAAAUACUGGAGUAGAAGUAUUUUUUUGUAGGUCUACAGGUGAAGAGGCAUGGCGAUCAACGGUGCCGAUGGGAGAGAGAGAGGAGAGUAAAAAAAAGACUCGAAAACAUUGCGGGAUCCACAAGCCAGCUCACCCACACCCUCAAAAAUGCCAUGCCAUGCCCUUGAACUUGGUUCAAUUGCAAUAGAAGAGAUGGGAUCAGCUGCAUCAAGAGGGACUGCAUAGACUCAGCUACGCUGAGCAUGCAGUUAGUGGAAGAAAAAAAUAUCGGCAGCGUUAGAUUGUUUGUGUGUGUGACCGUGGAGAAAAAAAUCGGGACCAAAUCGGGAAAAAAGAAAAUCAACAGACCGGCGGGACUACCUAGAGGACUUAUUUUUUUUGGAGUAUAAAUAAAAGGGAUUGAUUGAACCGGCUGGCCUCCCGUAUAUGGGCCAAAUUCCCAUUCCCUGGACCUCGGAAUAUUGGUCACACCCCUGCCCGGGCGCGAGCCCGCCACAGCGGCACCAACAGCAACAGAUAAUUAAAUUAAAUAAAUACGCCCACAUAAAAUACAUGCAUGCAUACAUGCAUACAUAAAACACAUAUACAUAUACAUAUGUAUAUUAAAUUGAAUAUUUAAUUUAUUGCCGUCCCCAUAUAUAUAUAUUUUCUAACCGUAUUCCUGUAAACAUCUAAGUUUUAUAAUCUUAUAAAUUUUCCGGGAGUAGGCGGACGCGCCACAAAAACAUUAGUGCAGGAAACAAUAGUUAAGUAUGUGUUAAGUUUUUGAGUGAAAUUAUAACGUUUGAUAUGAAUUGCUGAGAGUGUUUAGUAUGGGGGAAAGGGCACCACAACGGCGAAAUGGAGGAUGGCCGCUGCACUUGAAGAGGAGAUUUGUAGUUGUUCUGCGUCGGAGAGAUGAUUGUCCGUGAGAUUUAGAGUAAAGUCCGUAGGUUAGUUUUUGAAUUGUCGUUUUGCUUUCAUAUUUGUUCGAGAUGUCCGAACAGCUGGUUUAUUGUGCGACCUGGGGGCCUGGGAAGAACUCAGCACUGGAAUGACUGGCUAGCCGGCUUUGCCCCAUCACCAAAACAGGUUCGUAACAAUAAUGGCGC